CUGGCGGCGUGCUUAACACAUGCAAGUCGAGCGAUGAAGUUUCCUUCGGGAAACGGAUUAGCGGCGGACGGGUGAGUAACACGUGGGUAACCUGCCUCAUAGAGUGGAAUAGCCUUCCGAAAGGAAGAUUAAUACCGCAUAACGUUGAAAGAUGGCAUCAUCAUUUAACCAAAGGAGCAAUCCGCUAUGAGAUGGACCCGCGGCGCAUUAGCUAGUUGGUGGGGUAACGGCCUACCAAGGCGACGAUGCGUAGCCGACCUGAGAGGGUGAUCGGCCACAUUGGGACUGAGACACGGCCCAGACUCCUACGGGAGGCAGCAGUGGGGAAUAUUGCACAAUGGGGGAAACCCUGAUGCAGCAACGCCGCGUGAGUGAUGAAGGUUUUCGGAUCGUAAAGCUCUGUCUUUGGGGAAGAUAAUGACGGUACCCAAGGAGGAAGCCACGGCUAACUACGUGCCAGCAGCCGCGGUAAUACGUAGGUGGCGAGCGUUAUCCGGAUUUACUGGGCGUAAAGGGAGCGUAGGCGGAUGAUUAAGUGGGAUGUGAAAUACCCGGGCUCAACUUGGGUGCUGCAUUCCAAACUGGUUAUCUAGAGUGCAGGAGAGGAGAGUGGAAUUCCUAGUGUAGCGGUGAAAUGCGUAGA
rnacentral:rRNA from 1 species